rnacentral:rRNA from 1 species
UACGAAGGGUGCAAGCGUUACUCGGAAUGAUUGGGCGUAAAGCGUCUGUAGGUGGCUUUUUAAGUCUGCCGUCAAAUCCCAGGGCUUAACCCUGGACAGGCGGUGGAAACUACCAAGCUGGAGUACGGUAGGGGCAGAGGGAAUUCCCGGUGUAGCGGUGAAAUGCGCAGAUAUCGGGAGGAACACCAAUGGCGAAGGCAGCUCGCUGGGACGGUACUGACGCUGAGACGCGAAAGCGUGGGGAGCAAACAGG